GUGCCAGCAGCCGCGGUAAUACCGGCAGCCCGAGUGAUGGCCGCUAUUAUUGGGCCUAAAGCGUCCGUAGCCGGCCGGGCAAGUCCGUCGGGAAAUCCACCCGCUUAACGCGUGGGCGACCGGCGGAAACUGCACAGCUUGGGACCGGAAGGCUCGAAGGGUACGUUCGGGGUAGGAGUGAAAUCCCAUAAUCCCGCACGGACCACCGAUGGCGAAAGCACUUCGAGAAAACGGAUCCGACAGUGAGGGACGAAAGCCAGGGUCUCCAACCGGAUUAGAAACCCCGGUAGUCC
rnacentral:rRNA from 1 species